ACACAAAGCAGACUUUGGCCUCAGCACCUGAUGAUUUUGAAGGAAAACAUUAGGACUGCCAGGAGGCAGUGACCUUUAAUCCCGCUGCUUUCGUUUGAGCUUUAUUAUAGAGCAGGAAGGGCUUAAGCGCCCUGGGAAGACAGGUACAAACAAGGAUAUGGGCUGAGAGGAAGUGCUAACUGGGAUGUCACCUUUGGACUCAAAUAUGAAGGAGGGCUCCAUGGACAGUCUGCAUGAGGUGGUGAGGGACGCUGGAGAGACGCAUGUCUCCACCGACUCCAGGAGAUCCAGCAGCUCUGCUGAGCUUCUCAACAGCGCUCGGUGUUCAAGAGCCACGUCUGUGGAUAUUUCACAAAUCAGCUCCACUAAUUCCAAAAGAAAAAAAGAAGGUACAUUUAUUGCUUCGUGCAGUUUUUAUUAUUUUUAUUUAUUUAUUAUAUUUAUUUUUUUUAGCACAGAGCGCUCUCAGAAUAUAGAUUCAUUGUUGUGGAAUAAAAUUUCUUUACAGAACCUCGUAUCAUCCUGAAGACAAUGCUGCAUUAAACACAUCCUCUUUACGCAGAUUCCUUUAAUCCUCUUCACAUCGAACCCCCCUACAAGCUAUCUGUUUGUCCUAUCCUUCCUUAGUACGCAUGGAAGGAAAAAAUGUGACA
ensembl:lncRNA